CACUCACCAGGAGAGGCAUUCUGUCAACAGUGAACUCUAUAUAUGAUCCAUUAGGUCUAGUGUCACCUCUCAUACUGACUGGAAAGCAAAUUUUACAAGAAUUAUGUAAGAAUGCAGUUGAAUGGGAUGAUGAGGUGCCAUAUUAUGUCAAACCUAAAUGGAUAAAAUGGAAGGACGAGCUGCACAAACUAGAUCAGCUAAAAGCACCUAGAUGCUACAAACCUUAUGACUUUGGGGAAGUAGAAAAGGUUGAACUCCAUCACUUUUCAGAUGCCUGUCAAGAGGGAUAUGGUCAGUGCUCAUAUAUUAGAUUAAUUAGUAAGACUGGCCGAAUUCAUUGUGCAUUAGUAAUGGCAAAGUCACGUGUCACACCUCUAAAAACCAUGACAAUUCCCAGAUUAGAACUAGCAACAGUAGUGGUAUCAGCUAGAAUCCAUAAACUCUUAAAGGGAGAACUUGAGUAUAAUAAUGUGGAAGAAGUAUUUUGGACGGACAGGAAAGUAGUCCUUGGUUACAUUGCAAAUGAAGCAAAGAGAUUCCAUGUAUAUGUUGCUAAUAGAGUAGAAACAAUUAGAGAUUGCACUUCACCAGAUCAGUGGAAAUUUGUAGAGACACAGUAUAACCCAGCAGAUCAUGCAUCUAGAGACAUGACAGCAGAUGAAUUGUGUAACAGCAAGAUCUGGUGGAAUGGCCCAGAAUUCCUUUGGCAACAUAGCAAAAUGGAUAACCAUUCCCAGUACAAGGUCAUAAAUGAAAAUGACCCUGAAGUGAAGAAAGUUGUAUGCCAUGGUGUAGGUACACAACAGCCCACAGAUAUACACAAAGACUUGAGUAUUUUUCUGAUUGGUUUAAAGCAAAGAAGGCAGUUGCUGUAUGCCUCAAGCUCCUGAACAGUUUCAGAGGAAAAGGUGAUGGCACUACUAAAGUAAAGGGAGACACAUAUGAGCCAGUAAAUGUAGCACAAGUGUCAAAAGCUGAAAAUGAAAUUAUAAAACAACUGCAAGUAAAGGCAUUCCAAGGGGAGAAAAAUGUACUGAAAUCAUCUGCUAACCAUAAUUCUUUGAUUAAAGGGGACAAUGGCAAGGGAACAAAAGUGAUAGACAAGACCAGUUCUCUCUAUAAGUUAGAUCCCUUCAUUGACAAAAUGGUAUCAUGAGAGUAGGAGGAAGAUUGAGGCUUUCUAAUCUGACAGAUGAAUCCAAACAUCCAGUCAUCCUCCCCAAAACAUCACACAUAACCCAGCUGAUAAUAUGCCACCACCACAAAAGGACAAAUCAUCAAGGCAGGGGCAUAACUUUAAAUGAAAUCAGGUCAUGUGGAUACUGGAUAGUAGGAGGAUCAUCCCUAGUAUCAAGGCACAUUUCAAAGUGCAUUAUCUGUCAUAAAGUUAGAAGUACAACACAGGGACAGAAGAUGGCAGACCUGCCUAUUGACAGACUAGAACCAUCACCUCCUUUUACAUACUCAGCAGUAGAUUUCUUUGGCCCUUUCUAUGUCAAAGAGGGGCGUAAAGAGCUUAAAAGAUAUGGAGUGCUCUUUACUUGCAUGGCAUGUAGAGCUGUGCACAUAGAGACAGCCAACAGCAUGGAUACAAGUUCCUUCCUUAGUGCAUACCGUCACUUUGUAGGACGAAGAGGGCCCGUAAGACAGUUGAGAUGUGACCAAGGAACUAACUUUGUAGGAGCCAAAUCAGAGUAUGAGAAAUGCUUGAAAGAACUAAAUAACAAUAAAGUCAGACAAGAACUCAUGAAAGAUCAGUGUGACUGGAUUGUUUUUAACAUGAAUUUACCCAAUUCCAGUCACAUAGGAGGUGUUUGGGAGAGGCAGAUACGCACAGUGAGAAAUGUACUCUCUGUGGUACUUGAUCAGCAUGGUACCCAGUUAGAUGACCAAGAUCUGAGAACCUUCUUAGUCGAAGCUGAAAAUAUAGUUAAUGGUCGUCCUCUAACUGUGGACCAUCUUAACUCCUCAGAAAGUCCUACACCGUUGACACCCAGUAAUUUGUUAACUAUGAAAACAAGGAUAGUACUGCCUCCUCCAAGUAUUUUCAUUAAGAAGGACCUGUACUGCAUAAAGAGAUGGCGCAGAGCACAAUACCUGGCCAACCAGUUCUGGUCCAGGUGGAAAAAGGAGUAUGUGCAGUUCCUACAACUUAGAAAUAAGUGGACAACACCAAAGAGAAAUCUCAGUGUAAAUGACAUAGUUAUCCUCAAGGAUCAGAAUGUAGCAAGGAACCAGUGGAAAUUGGGAAGAGUAACAGAAGUAUCUCCUGAUCAUGAUGGCCUAGUAAGAAAGGUUAAGGUCCUGGUGUCAGACUGUAAUCUCAACAACCAGGGAAGACGCACAAAGGCAAACAGGACCAUCAUAGAGAGGCCAAUACAUAGUCUAGUAUUGCUGUUAGUAGGUAAUGCAUAAUAAUAGACCGGAGCAUCUCCGCAAAGGAGCCAGUGUAACAAAACAUAUUAUGUGCUAAUCCUAGUUUUAAGGUACGUACUAAUGUUAAUUUAAGGUAAAUUGUUACACAAUUUAGGGGAGCCAUGUUACUGUAUGUAAAGUGUAUAUACCUCAUGUCAUUAUUCCUCAGUAAUCAUAAGUGAAAUGUUCAAUAGUUUUCUAUUUGCAUGAAAACAUGAUUGUAAUGUGUGUAAAUAUCAGUAUUCAAUGGUAUAUUAAGCACCGAAGCCGAUGCUCACUUGUUGGUAGAGUGUGGUUAACCCACUGAUCGCCUGCGGGUGUCACUCACGGCCAAGUCGCGCUCAGACAAAGACGGGCAGGAUGGUGACCGAGCUUUGUAUUUCAUCAUGAGUUUUGAUUUACUGUUUGUGAUAAUGACCUGUGUUACAUCGUCUGCAUACAUAGUGUCGAGGCAAGAUGGUCCAGCUGCAGGCAUGAUGAAGGCAUCAGGCGAUAAACAGUGCACACGCGGGACUGAGUCACUGAGUAAACACAGUGCAGUGGGCCGCGGGUGGCAUGAAGCAGUGUGCUCUGGUGGCGAGGGGACAAAGUAUGCCUUGCGCAGGAAUUUUAAUCGAUUUUACUCAUAACACCAGGUUCUGCUCCCCUUUAUGGUUGCCACUACUUGAGAUCAGCCUCCCAACACUGCCACUUCUACACAAUGUAGUGUGAAGCUAAGAUUCACUUCCACAGGAUCCUUCUCCUGGAUUGAGUUACACAAAUGAGGUCUUCAGCAUGUUUCACCCACCGACAGAAGAUGAACCACAGCCACCCAGGUCUGACCGGACUUGGAGAAGAAACAGACACCAUUGCACUGCAAAGACUCUUGUUUCCUGUAAGCCCAGAGCCCCCUAAAGAACACUGGAGUUUAGAAACAUUUAACACCACAACAAUGUUUACACAAACAAGAUGGUUCCAAGCAGAACAGAGAGGGUCUACUGACUGCUCACAGACAUGCCAAAUACUCGACUAUUACAGGCAAGGAGUCGUUAUGGGAGGUAUCUCUAUACUUAUGAGAUACUACAAUCACAGGGCACAGCACACCCAUUCCCGCACAUGGAGCCAAACUCCCUCACGUGGCCAGCACAGUACAACAAACACUGGGGUCAGCCAACACACCUCUGGGCCAGCCCCACUUGUCCCAGCAACUGCUCCUGUGUGCAGUCUUCUCUCAUCAAAUCUGAUUCCUUGUCACUUUGAAGAGGACAGCAUCCAUCAAUACACACUUUCCUACUCAGGCCCAGCAUCUGACAAUUAACAACAGCUUGCCCACAUGAAGUCCCCAGCAACACUGACUGCUGUAUUAUUAAAUUCCCCCUUCCCCUUCCCAUCCCCUUGCCUUUCCCAUGGCCAUUUACAGUAUUAUUAAUCUCCUCCAUCCCCAGGGCUGUGUUUGAAAAUGAAACAACGGGGGCAGGAUAGGGUAGAAAAAUGCUGACUUGGUGGGGUGAGAGACAAGAUACCUUCACUUUCCCUUCAUAUAUUUUUGGAAACAAUACACUUAUUGAUUUGUUUUUUAGAGAAGGUAAUGCGUUUAUAAACGUGAAAAAAAUAAUGAAUCAUGUAGCAUUUCAGACUUUGCUUAUAUGGAUAUGUUUGUAAUGUUUCUGGAGACAUUGGUGUUCCUGUGUGAUUGUAAACAUACCCCCACAGUGAUGCAGCCUCCUGUUACCAGUAUGAGUUGCCAGAGAGAGAGAGAGAGAAGGAGAGAGAGAAUGGUAUGCAUUUUCUUACACACACACACACACACACACACACACACACACACACACACACACACACACACACACACACACACACACACACACACACUAAACCCAUCUAGAGACAUAAAUGUGAUCAUAUCUUGAUCUUGCCAAGAGAGAGAGAGAGAGAGAGAGACUAUAGGGAACAUCAUACCAGAUAAUGGUGUGCAGCUCCUCAAACACACACACACUACCUGUAAAAGUGAGUAUCUCUUGCCAGCAGUGUGUGUGGCAAAGCAUGAUAGAAAGCGAGACUGGUAAACAUUAGACAAUGGUGUAUAUAAAUGCAUAAAUCACCUGUUGUGGCAUAACUGGGAACUCAUACCAGCAGGCCUAGCCAGCCUCCGGGGCCCCCGCGCUCCCACGUGUGAUUUUCAAGGUUGCUAACAUAGCUCAGAUUUUUUAUUUGCUAUUUACUUGUAGAUUAUCAACUUUAUGCAUUAGUUUAUAUUAUAUAAUGUAUAUUAGUGAAAAUGUAAGCAAAAAAUGCAUUCAUUGUCUCAUUUCUGAGAAUUAUUGGUUUGAAAGUGUUACCAACAUUAAGCUUGGCCAUUGUGGUGAACCUCACGCGCAGGAAGGGGACAGGGUUCUCAAAUACUUUAGCCCCGUGGAUGAGGUCGGGGACGGGAUGGGGAAGGGGUGAUUUAAUAUGGCCAUGAGGGUACUUCCUGAGUGGCAACCAAAGCAUCACCGGCAGCCUUAGUCAGUGCUGCCUAAAAGACACUGCACUCUAAUGCUUUUGCCAACUACAUCUUUACAACUCUUCCAGAAAGGAGGAAUUGGGCUAGAAAUAUCACUCACAACUCCCACACUAGGGGAAACAAACCUAGACAUAAUGCAAGGGAGAGGGGUCCCAGACAAGAGGUCAUCAGACUUGUCUGGGGCCAGAGCUUAACCCAUGCAGUUACACUCAACAAGCUGGACCACACCCAGCUCCCACACCCACAACCACGCCACAAGCUCUUGAGUCAUUCUUGGUCUAAAAUGGCCAAAUACCAGGCUGCUAUGUGCUAUUAGCACCCAUGCCUCCUUGACUGCUGAUGGCACAAGAAAAUGGAGCAACAGACCUCUGUCCUCCUCUCUCCUCCAGCUAUUCAAAUUAUUUUUAUCAUCUGCCAACACUGCCCAAGCCUCUGCUUCCUUGCCAUCCACUACUGCCAUGGCAAGUAGUGAGGCAGCACAUACAUGAGGGGCAAAACCCUCCUUAGGUACAUUGACAGCUGUAGCAACAGCUGCCAGCAGGAGCAACUCACUACAUGAGCAAGCACCCACUGUGUCUGAUCCUGGCAGGAGAGUAGCCUGCUUCCCAUCUCCGGUACCUUCCACAGGGGAGGAAACUCCCAUCUCCCCACCUGAGUUAGGAGUCUCCUCACCCUCAGCAGUGACCCCUAACACACCAGACACAACAGGGUAGAGCAUGGACUGAAUACCGGUGCCCACAGCCUCAACUCCAGGUGACAACUCUGGUUGAGCAUCACCUCCAAGAGGCUCCGUAGGGUAAGGCAAGGCAUCAAACAAACCACCUAAAUCUCACACCCCAGCCUCACCCUCAGCACAACUCCCAUCAAAGUCAGGUGCUCUCUGUGGUGUCUUCGCUGUUGCAGUCAGCCCCAGCACACUGACUCAAAGAUGAGUCCAAUUAUGACUCGUUCAGAAACUUGCCAGCAGUGAGACAGGUCUCUGGGCACUCUGCCCCCACUGCAGCAUCAACAUAAACUCUGCACUCCUCAAGUGGUAGUCCUGCAUUAUUGCAGCUGACCCAGGAGUCACAGAACCCAUGAGCACCAUGAUGCUGGGGUGUUUGCCUCACCUUAGGGCAAGCGACAACAGAAAUAGAAUCAUGAAUAUCAGGAGCUUCCACAUCCAGGACAGUUUCCUCAGAUGGGAGCUGUACCCAAACCUUUCCCCCCUGCCAGGUCAUUCCCCAGAAGGAAAUCAACCCUAGACACUGGCAGGUCCUCUGCUAGUGCCAUCCAUGCCUCUGCAAUCACUAGCAGGCAUACAAGCUUUCUGUGGCGUCAAUUCUCCAGCACCAGACUGGCUUAUCUGAUGUAACCCACCUCUCAGUCACAUUCCUGCACAGCAACUGCUGUGCAGCUGUGUCUCUCAAAACAGUGACAGGGUAGUCAACCCAAUCAAUUUCAACAGUGCCCUGGCACAAAAAUGGACGGCACCAGUCCAAACCAAACUUCACAGGGUACGAGGGGGUUUCAACAGAUGAGGGGGCAGUACUUCCUGCCUUUAUACCCUUAGUACUAAACAUGGACUGAGUCUCUUCACGCUCAACACCUUGGUUGUGUGAUACAAUCAAAGCCACCAGCUUCUCAGAUGGCUUAGAAGCCGUGGCUGUCACAAACUUGGGUUAGUUAAAUUUAAAGUGCCCAUUAUUUUUACAAUAGUGACACAUGGGCUGCAUACUGUACCAGGGAGGGCUGUGUUGCAUAUUCUCAGACUGUCUCCAUCAAGGGCUGAGUGGAGACUUGUUACCUACGGAGCUGACUUGUCCUGACUUAUUUCUGAAGCCACUGCUAUAGCGUGGGCUUUCUGACAAACUGGUACUUGCCACACCACCAGACAAAACAUCACCAGCCCUGCUAGACAUACUACCAAUCCAAUGUGGCACAGGCCAAUAAGCCAACACGUGGUCAUCUGCCCAUGUAGCUGUCUCCUUCAGGCUUUUAAACCAUUUCUCAUGGUGCAGCAGUAUCAGUUCUUUCUUGGCCAUGUUUACAAAUUGCUCCAUUAUCAUAAGCUCUCUUAACUCAUGAUAGGAAGUGGCCUGCUCGUUAGCAAUCCAUUUUCCAAACAUCUCUUCGAAAUAGCAAGCACACUCAAGGUAGGAGUUACUAGGUCUUUUCUUCCCACCACAGAAAUGCAGCCUAUAAGUCUUGGGUCAUAGCUUGUAGGCUCUCAGGAUGUCAGCCUUAAACUUCUCAUAAUCCUCCAGGUCUUCAACUGACAUUCUGUCAUAAACCUCCAGAGCCUUGCCCUUCACCAUAUUUGCAACAAAGCCAACUCAUCUCUUCUGAGACCAAUCAAAUUCCGAGCCUUUCUCAAAUCUGAACCAUUCUGUUACUUUCUUUUCAUCAAACUCAGGUAUCAACUUCAAAUUCUUCAUCAUUUGGCUCUCUACGGCAUUUUCUCUCACUCCACUCAUCAAGCCAUGAGGUGAGUUAACUUCUAUCCGCAUCUUCUCCAACUCAAACAUCCGUAUCAUCGUUUCUUUCUAAUAUAUUCUCGCCUUCUUCUCCUUUUCUGCUUCUAGUAAUCUCAGCUCUUUCUCUUGCUUAAGUAAUCUCACUUUUUCCUUGGCUUCCAGUCACUUGGCUUCCCUCUCAGCCUCAAGCCUCCUGGCUUCUCUAGCCUCCACAGCCCUCAAUCUCCUUUCCUCAGCUUCCAAUUCAAACCUUUUUAAUUCUCUCUCACUCUCAGCCUCUAGCUCCAUUCUCCUCAUUUCCAGUUUAAACCUCAUUUUCUCAGACAUGCCUUCUGUCUGGGAAAAUCCACUAAUACUGUGGGCAGGACUUACUUGACCAUGGGCACUAUUUGUGGGACUAUGUGUCCUCAUGCCAAACUGUGUCAGAUCUACGCUGCCACUUCUGGCAGAAGCAGGAGACUCGGGUUGCGAGCCACUCCUGUUACCAGCCUUUCCCUUCCUUCAUGGUGCAACCUGAGUGUGGGCACACAACGGGUAAUGAAAUGAAUAACAAGCAACUGUCUCCCCCAUGUAGCUACGAAGCUUCCAGCAAUCUCGGUGAGGUUGCCAAUUUCUGUUACAACCACAGGUGCUGCCCCUCUCACAGCGGCCUUUAUCUUGGCUCGCUUCCCCGAGUCACCACCUAUGUAACUUGGUGCAGAGCUUAAUAGAGGGGUCACAAGGUCCUUCUGGUCUCUUGAAACCUGUUAACAAAACAGUUAUAACACCAGGUUCUCCCCUUUAUGGCCACCACUACCCAGGAUCAGCCUCCCUCCACUGCCACUUCUACACAGUGGAUUCACCUCCACAAGGUUCUCAGAGAGUUACACAACUGAGGUCAUUAACCUGUUUCACCUACCAACAGGCAAGGGAAUAUUACAACAGCAAAUUCACUCUCAACAGUUGGGAAAGAAUCAAAAGCCACAUUGUAGGAGGCACUGCUAUGAUGAGUGACAAACACAUUUAAGGAUUAUAAGAUUCUAUGGACUACCGCUCUCUCAAACUACAAGACUAAUAUCCACGCACAUCCAUAGAAUGAUCUCUUCUGCCAUGCAAUACCAUCUGUGUCUUGUCAGAAGACGAACCACAGUCACACAGGACAGACUGGGCUCAGAGAAAAAACAGAUACCACUGUACUGCAGAGACUCGGGUGUCCUCUAAGCCUAAAACCCCCUAAAGAACACUAGAACUUAGCAACAUUUAACAACACAACAACAUAUAAAUGAAUAAGCUGUCCCAAAGCAGAACAGAGAGGGUGUUUUGACUGCUCACAGACAUGACAAAUACUCGACCGGUCGAACGAAUUGAGCAUUUAAGCAUUGUCCUUUCCAGGUAUUCCAGGUAUUCCCCCAGGUAUUGAAAGUGUUUAAUAUCAGUGUAUAAUGUUAUUUUGUAAGAAAUUGAGACUGAGAAUUUGUUUGCCAUUCUUACUGUCAUGCCUACCUCAUCAAUAAAUGUCAAGAGAGAGAGAA